UACGGAGGGGGCUAGCGUUGUUCGGAAUUACUGGGCGUAAAGCGCACGUAGGCGGAUCAGUCAGUCAGGGGUGAAAUCCCGGGGCUCAACCCCGGAACUGCCUUUGAUACUGCUGGUCUGGAGGAUGGGAGAGGCGGAGUGGAAUUCCGAGUGUAGAGGUGAAAUUCGUAGAUAUUCGGAGGAACACCAGUGGCGAAGGCGGCUCGCUGGCCCAUUUCUGGACGCUGAGGUGCGAAAGCGUGGGGAGCAAACAGGG
rnacentral:rRNA from 1 species